rnacentral:rRNA from 1 species
UGGGGAAUAUUGGGCAAUGGGCGCAAGCCUGACCCAGCAACGCCGCGUGAAGGAAGAAGGCUUUCGGGUUGUAAACUUCUUUUGUCAGGGACGAGUAGAAGACGGUACCUGACGAAUAAGCCACGGCUAACUACGUGCCAGCAGCCGCGGUAAUACGUAGGUGGCAAGCGUUGUCCGGAUUUACUGGGUGUAAAGGGCGUGUAGCCGGGAGGGCAAGUCAGAUGUGAAAUCCACGGGCUUAACUCGUGAACUGCAUUUGAAACUGUUCUUCUUGAGUAUCGGAGAGGCAAUCGGAAUUCCUAGUGUAGCGGUGAAAUGCGUAGAUAUUAGGAGGAACACCAGUGGCGAAGGCGGAUUGCUGGACGACAACUGACGGUGAGGCGCGAAAGCGUGGGGAGCAAACAGG